GUCUCUUUGGAGACACUCGAUAAAAUUGGAACGAUACAAAGAAUAUUAUUAGCAUGGACCCUACGCAAGGAUGACACGUACAAAUCAAGAAAUGGUCCAAAAAAAAUUUCU
rfam:Picea glauca, whole genome shotgun sequence.